CGCUUUUUCCUGUUGAAGCUAGCUUCUGGAAUCGCUUCUUCAUAACCAAGAUUUUUAGUUUUAUGAAGCAAGAGCUGAUCUUUUUGCCAUUGAAGCUCGCUACCAUUUUCGCACUCUCGCUCUCUCUGUGCAUUCCAAGCCACCAAACGAUCAAGACUAUUGAGGUUCUAAGUGUCAUAAAUAGAAGGAUUACAAGAUGUCCGAAACGAGUUCUACUAGUGUCACAGAAAGAAGGACAAGAUCUGUAGUGUGGGAACACUUUAAACGGAUUCCUGAUCAAGAUAAGGCUGAAUGUUUAUAUUGUGGGGCCCAAAUUCGUCGUGCUAGUAAUCAUGGGACUAGUUCGAUGCAUCAUUAUUUAGGUAGAUGUAAGGAAUACGCAUAUGCAAACGUUGAGAAAAGGCAAAAAAGUGCCUUGGAUCAACUUCUUGGGGUCGGUAGUUCAUCGGGUCCAUGAAAAUUUGAUCAAGAUGCUAGUCGAAAAGACCUAGCAAAAAUGUUUAUUAUUGGUGAAUUGCCUUUUAAGUUCGUAGAAAAUGAGGGAUUUCGGCUAUUCGUGAAUAGAAUCCAGCCAAAGUUUCUAAUCCCGUGUCAGAACACAUUGAGGCAUGAUUGUUACAAGUUAUACAUGGGGGAAAGAAGUAAAUUGAAGAAAUAUUUCUCGGAGACAUCUCCAAGAGUGUGUCUUACGACCGACACAUGGACUUCUUGUCAAAAUUUGAGCUAUAUAUGUCUUACUGCUCAUUUUGUUGAUGCCGAUUGGAAGUUGCACAAGAAAAUAUUGAAUUUUUGUCAAAUUCCGGGUCAUGCUGCUAAGAUAAUAGGAAAAGCAGUUGAGAAAUGCUUGACUGAUUGGGGGAUUCAAAGCGUUUUUUCUAUUACUAUGGAUAAUGCAAGCUCAAAUGACUUAGGAAUUCAAUAUUUGAAAAAAAGACUUAACUCUCGGAAUCCUCUAGUAUUGAGAGGUGAGUUACUCCACGUAAGGUGUUGUGCUCAUAUAUUGAGUUUGAUUGUGAGAGAGUGGUUGAAAGAUGUAAAUGAUUCAAUUGUUAGAAUACGUUAGGCUAUGCGUUAUGUGAGGUCUUCUCCUGCGAGGUUGAGACGGUUUAAGAGUUGUAUUGAUAUCGAGUCUAAGAGUCUUGUAUGUUUGGAUGUGGAGACUCAUUGGAACUCGACAUACAUGAUGUUGGAAGCAGCUUUGAAGUUUCAAACAGCUUUUAGCUUGUUGGAAUUUCAAGAUAGCAAAUAUAUUGAAGAGCUUUCCAAGGCGAAAAGGGUUGCCCACUAGUGAUGAUUGGGAGUAUGCCCAUCACUUUCUUCCUUUCCUAAAAUUGUUCUUUGAUACGACUUAAAAAGUUUCGGGUUUUUCUUAUGUCACUAGUAAUGAUAUGGCGAAGGAUGUGUAUGGGAUUCAUGGAAUCAUUGAUGCAUAUUGUGAGAAUGAGGAUCAAAGUGUGCAGGAAAUGGCUAAGAGAAUGAAAACCAAAUUCAAUAAAUAUUUUGGCAAUGUGAACAACAUCAAUCUUACUUUGUUCAUUGCUUGCAUACUUAACCCGUGACAUAAGUGGGAAUAUGUGAAGUGGAUGAUUAAUAAUGUUUAUGAAAGCAAGGAGGCGGAAACUUUACGAGAUAAAGUAAAAACAUCUAUGACGUUAUUGUGCGAGCAAUAUCGCACUGGUGUAUGCCCUCAAAGCAACUUGAGGCUAAAGAGCACUAGGACGAUAAGCAUGUCAAAGUCUCCAGUGGUUGGUGCUUAUUUUAUGGCUGCAAAGUAUCUUAGCCAAACUGGACAACAAUAUUUGGAAGGAAGGAUGUGAAUGUUAUAACCCAAACUUUAAUAUCUUAAGUUGGUGGAAAGUAAAUUCUUCAAUAUAUCCUAUCCUUUCUUCCAUUGCUCGAGACAUAUUGGCCGCCCGUCUCAACUGUAGCAUCAGAGGCCGCAUUUAGCACAGGAGGUCGUGUGCUUGAUGUGUUUCGUAGCUCUUUGACCCCAAGCAUGGUGGAGGCUCUUAUAUGUGCUCAAGAUUGGUUACGAUCUACGCCACUUUCACGUUCGAUUGAGGAGGACUUGGAAGAACUCGAAAUCUUAGAGUCAGGUGAAAAAAUAUGGUUGUGGAAUUUUGUACCCUUUUAUACUUCGAUGGAUACAUUAAUUCUCAUUUUCAUCGUGAAUUUAAUGCAGAGUUACCAACUACAACCAUGGAGCUAAACUCAAUUUCUCUAGAUGAUUGAUGAAGUUGGAGAUUGGUACUUGUUAAACCAA